CCCCUCGUAUCCCUUCUUCACUGUUGCAAUUCGCUUCCGUUAGUCACCAAUGACCGUCAAAGUUUAACACACAUGCAGAGAACUGCUGAGGUAAUAUGGAUCCUAUUGUAGCUAAGGACGACAAUCGGAUUGGUUCAGAUCAUAAAUGAGUCAGAUUAGAAAUGGAUCGGAUCAGAAAAUAUCAAAUCUAAAUCCAACCUAAUUAUUAAACAAGUCAGAUUUUCAAACCUGAAUGUGACUCAUUUAAUAAACAGGUCACCC
rnacentral:lncRNA from 1 species